GAUGAACGCUGGCGGCGUGCCUAAUACGUGCAAGUCGAGCGAACGGACGAGAAGCUUGCUUCUCUGAUGUUAGCGGCGGACGGGUGAGUAACACGUGGAUAACCUACCUAUAAGACUGGGAUAACUUCGGGAAACCGGAGCUAAUACCGGAUGAUAUUUUGAACCGCAUGGUUCAAAAGUGAAAGACGGUCUUGCUGUCACUUAUAGAUGGAUCCGCGCUGCAUUAGCUAGUUGGUAAGGUAACGGCUUACCAAGGCAACGAUGCAUAGCCGACCUGAGAGGGUGAUCGGCCACACUGGAACGGAGACACGGUCCAGACUCCUACGGGAGGCAGCAGUAGGGAAUCUUCCGCAAUGGGCGAAAGCCUGACGGAGCAACGCCGCGUGAGUGAUGAAGGUCUUCGGAUCGUAAAACUCUGUUAUUAGGGAAGAACAUAUGUGUAAGUAACUGUGCACAUCUUGACGGUACCUAAUCAGAAAGCCACGGCUAACUACGUG
rnacentral:rRNA from 1 species